CCAUAAGACUUUGGGUUGCUAAAACAGCUUUUUGCAUUUCAAUAUUAUGCAAAUAUGCUCCAUUAUUUUUCCUAAUAUUACUAUAGAUUAAGAAAAACUUCUUUAUGGCAUUAUAUAUUGAGUUAUGUGAGUUAUGAAUUAGUUUUUUUCCAAAUAGUUAAUCUUUCCCCCAUUUAAAAUAUCUAUAUCUGAGCCCGUUUCUGCUUCAUUGUUCUAUUGAUUCAGGGGUCAGUAGACUGACACAUGAGACAAAUCUAACUUACUGCCUUGUUUUUGUAAAUAAAGAUUUUUUGGAACAUAGCCCCACCCAUUUGUUUACAUAUUGUUUUUUUAGUUUUGAUUUUACAAGGGCUGAGUUGAGUCAUUGGCACAGAGACUAAAGAGCUCACAAAGCCUAAAAUAUUUACCGUGGCCUUUAUGGAAGAAGUUUGCCAACCCCUGAAUUAGUCUCUUUCCUAAUUUCAGACUUUUUAAAAAUAAAAGUAUAAAUAUGGUGUGCACACAGUGGCUCAUGCCUGUAAUACCAGCACUUUGGGAGGCCAAGGUAGGCAGAUUACUCGAGCCCAGGCGUUUGAGACCAGCCUGGGCAAUGUGGUAAAACCCUGUCUCUACAAAAAAUACAAAAUGUAGCCAGGUGUAGUGGCAUGUGCCUUUGGUCCUAGCUACUUCAGAGGCUGAGGUGAGAAGAUCGCUUGAGCCCAGGAGGUUGAGGUUGCCGUGAGCUGUGAUCACACCAGUGCACUCCAGCCUGAGUGACAGAGCAAGACCCUGUCUUAAAAAUACACACACACACACACACACACACACACACGAGUGUACACUCACAGAUACAAAAUACACAUAUAAAUAUGUAUUAAUGGGUAUGUCUGUCUCUUUCCCCAUAUCACACUGUUUUAUUUAUUAUUUAUUAUGUUAUAUUUAUAUACACCCUGGUGGGGGAUGGGUCUUUCCUACGAGAUAUCAAAACUAAUAAAUUAUAGUAAAAAUAGAGUCUGGUAUUGGUGAAGAAACUGACUAAUACAGAAUUGGCAAACUUUCUGUAAUGGCUACAGUAAAUAUUUUUGGCUUUGUGAGCUGCAUAGUCUCUGUGCCAACUAUUCAACUCAGCCCUUAUGUCAUGAAAGCUAUUGAAAGCAACACAUAAACAAAUGGAUGGGGCUGUGUUCCAAUAAAAACACCUGCGUUUUAAAAUUUUUUCUUGAUUAUUCUGCAUUUCCUUUUGCAUCUGAACUUCAGAAACAAUUGUUAACUUCAAGUAUCACAUUAGGAUUUCUCUUAAGAAAAACUUAAAAAAAAUGUUACUUUUCAGAGAUUAGAUACAUUUUGCCUACAGUUUUGCCAAUUUGACAUACUUGAUUAAUCAGUACUAGCUUCAGUGCCUGGGACGUGGUAGGUGUACAAUACAUGAAUAAUACAAUUCAUGCUAUUAGUAUGAAUGGCCCAAGAUUCUUUUUACCAUAUCUUUUGCUUGGUGAUAUGGCUUGGCUCUGUGUCCCCACCCAAAUCUCAUUUCGAAUUGUCAUCAUCUCCGGGUGUUGAGGGAGGGGCCUGGUAGGAGGUGAUUGUAUCAUGGGGGACUGUUCCCCCAUACUGUUCUUGUGAUAGUGAGGGAGUUCUCAUGACAUCUGAUGGUUUUAAAAGUGGCAGUUUCUCCUGCACUUGCUUGCUCUCCCGCUGCCUUGUGAAGAAGGUGUCUGCUUCCCUUUCACCUUCUGCUAUGAUUAUAAGUUUUCUGAAGCUUCCCCAGCUGUGUGGAACUGUGAGUCAAUUAAACUGCUUUCGUUUAUAAAUUGCCAAGUCUCAGGUAGUGUCUUUAUAGCAGUGUGAAAACAGACUAAUGUCCUGGAGAAUCGCCUGUCUGAUAGGUAUAGAUAUUCAUUAAUAGGUUUCUGUGGCCUUUUAGCUGAUGGCAUCUAUUCGAGUUGCAUAGACGACAGAUGGUAAUAGAUUAGAUUGCACAUUUUUUAAAUGAUUAAGGGUCAGCAAAUAUUUCUAAAACAUUAAAAUAUUAUAAUACUAUUCCUUCUCUCCCUCACAGGCCUUCUAGUAGAUGAUCUUGUCUAAGUUUUAGGAGACCAUUGGAUUCCCAAAGUGAUUUUAUUGUGUAGAAUUAUGUAUUCUGUAUGUAUUUUAGCAACUGAUUAGAACGAAAAUGGAUAUAGUAUAGAUUUCAUUCAUGAAUUAUUUGUCAUUCAACACUAAAUGCGAAUUGUUGGCUGAAGGAGCUUACAUAAACAAAAUCUAUUUUGUUAUAAAAAUGUAUAAAUUAAGAAUUUUCUUAGUAGGACCAAACUUGAUGUGAUACAUUAGAGUAACUUAACUUUUCUUUUGUAAUCGUGUAAUAUCCUUCUAUGGACAUUUAAAGUUUUACUUCUUUAUGCCUUCCCCAGCAACUUUAACAUUUUCCUGCUCUUUCUGAUCUCAUGCUAAAGCCUGUAUACUAGAUGGUCUGGUUGUGAAUCCUAGUUCUUUCAUUUAUUUGAGUAUUUAAGGGCCAGAAAAAUUGUCAGAAAUUAGUUUAAAAACAUAAAUAAGGCCAGGCACAGUAGCUCACACCUGUAAUCCCACCACUUUGGGAGACUGAGGUGGGUGGAUCACCUUAAGUUGGGAAUUUGAGACCAGCCUGAUCAACAUGGAGAAACCCUGUCUCUUCCACAAAUGCAAAAUUAGCCAGGUGUGGUGGCGCAUGCCUGUAAUCUUGGCUACUCAGGAGGCUGAGGCAGGAAAAUCACUUGAACUUGGUAGGUGGAAGUUGCAGUGAGCUGAGAUUGUGCCAUUAAAUUCUUUUGUUUUCUCAUUUAAAAUGAAGCUAGUAAUGCUACCUAUCUUCUUACUUUGUUGUGAGUCUUGGACAAGUUGGUAUGCAAAACAUAAAAUGCCAAACUUGUCAAAUGGAAUUUGUCCGAAGAUUAUGAAUUCUAUUCUGAUAGCCUAAUUGGGAAAAAGUGCCACAAACAUGUGUAGUUUCAGUUUACAGAUGUGGAGUUGAGUUAUAGACUAGUGAGCAAAAUUUCCAGGUAAGAUUAUUUUUCCACUGGAAAGAAUUAUAUUUGACUUUAUGCUUAAUAUUUUAACAGCAUUUGCUUGGCCAUAACAGAGAAUACAACUAACAGUGACCAAAAACACAAGAACAUUUAUUAUUAAAUAAGAAGUAUUGAGGCAGGCAAUCCCGGAGUUGGUUCUCUGGCUCAGCAGUGUCAGAGUAUUAGAUUGGCAGGCCUCUGAAGCUCUCCUGUUUUUCCUUUCAUGGUGCAAGGCAGCUCUGAAAACAGAAUAUCAUUAUAGUAAUAUCUAGAGUAGAAAGAGCAUUUGAGAAAGGGCUUCCUUUUUGUUCUUCUUGCUCAUUAAGGAAAAGACCUUUCCUAGAAUCUCUCAGGCCCUUUCUAUUAUUGGUCAAAAUAAUAUAAAGCAACUUUCUCACAGAUGCCUGACCAAACAAUGGAAAAGGGGAAAGGGCUUACCAUGACUGGCAUAUACCAAUUAUAAUUCAUCAUCUGAGGUAAAACAAAUUGCCACUACGCAGAAAUAGGCUCUGUCAGUGAGGAAGAAGGGAAGAACAGUCUUUAGGGAACUAGGCAGUCUGCCACAUUACAAUAUUCAUUUGUUUAAAAGUAACUUACAAAGUAACAGGGUUUAAAGUAGUGAACAAAGUGGACUUAAUCCCCUGAAUUCUUGAGGAUUUUUUUUUCUUUUUCUGUUUAAGAGAUUUCAUUUUUGUUGGGAUGUUAUUAGGCAUUUUCUUGUCUCCUGAAUGUUUGUAAGUGUUAGAGCUCAAAGGGGGACCUUCUUUGGACAUCAGUUUUAAAAAAAAAAUUCCUUGGAAGAAAGGCAUUCACUUAAAAAUGUUUUAUUCUUACAAUUAUGUAUAAGUAUUUCUAGUUUCAGAGAGAAGGAGAAACGGGGUUCUAAAGGAUAAUAUACCCAAGAUCAAAUAGAUGGGAGGUUCUGAUUGUAAUAUAAUUUUUGAAUCUUUUUAAUGUCCUAUGUACUGUACUUACUACUAUGCACAAAUUGUUUUAUUAAAUCCAUAUGACCCUGUGAGGGUUAUGAGGUAUAGGUACCUGUACAGGUAGGGAAAUUAAGCCUUUUGUGUUUAAAUAACUUCUCAACGUCUCAGAGCUACUCAGCAGCAAUCAAACCAACACCUCAGGGCUGAUAGAUGCCGAAGUGUGCAGUUUUUGCAUGCCUUGGUGUUUGUGCAGCCAGUCGUUUUUCCACUAUGGAAGUGGUUCCUGGGAUCUUAGUACAAAACGUGUUAAAUUUUCUGUUAAAUUUUGGUACUGUUAGUUUUACCUUGGAUAUAAUGCAGUGCAGGAUUUUUUUCCUACCAUGUCCGUGAAGCCAAAUCUUCAGUGUGAUGACAGAAAUUGCAGGAAGCAGCAGGAGUAUAAGAAAAAGGUAGCAGGAUUGCCCAAACAAGAGGUUAUAUGAGAAGAGGAAGAGAUAAUCCAUGAAGAUGAGUGGGGUAAUUAGCUGGUAUCUGAGGUUACAGAAGAAGAGUUGAACAGUUCUUCAGGUCCAGUUCCAGACUUAUCUGAAGGAAUUACAGUGACAUACACAAUUCCAAAAAUGCAAGAAGAUUCUGUCACUGAGGUAACAGUGGAAGAUUCUGGUGAAAUCUUGGAAGACCUCAUGGCCAAGAUGAAGAAUAUGUAGAUAAUGAACUGGCAUAUAUUUUAUUUCUUAUGUUAAAGCCUCUUCCCUUGAAAUUAAGAACACAUUUUAAAAACUGAUAAAACUUAGGGCAACAUUAAUUAAUGUAUACUCUUAACUGAAUUGUUACACUUUUUGAAAAUUCUGUGACUUGUUUCUCCCCAUUUUAACUAAAUCAUUAACUCUCCUAAAAUAUAUGUUUUAUUCUAGUAAAAAACCUUCAAAGGAUACUGUAGGGUAUAAAUCUUAUUUGAAAACAUAGCCAUUGAAAUGUUUUGACCUUUUGGAGUUGGGGAAUGAUGAAUCUCACCCUGUAGUCUUUUUCUUUUCAGUAAUCCCUUGUGUCUGUUGUAUGAGGACACGGACAUUAAAGCAGUACAUGAUCCUCAGAUACAAGGAGAAGGACAAGGCUUAUAGCUUAUUGAUUAGGGCUGGCACGCAUCUGCUUAUUAUGUUUGGAAUUGCUUUCUAUAAGAAAAUUGCCCAGUACUACUAACUUGACCAACAGGGAAUUUAAAAUAGUUAACCUAUGAAAUAACAUUCUCUCAAAUGUUUGCUGAUGAAAUACAAGUUGAAAUGUAUUCAUUGAAAAAGUCUGUAAACCUGUGGAUUAUGUAUUCAGAAUAAGACAAAGGCAAAUAAAAAGCAACUAUCUUCAUGAAUAGACAAA